UACGGAGGGUGCGAGCGUUGUCCGGAAUCACUGGGCGUAAAGGGCGCGUAGGCGGCUGUACAAGUCAAAGGUGAAAUCCCUCGGCUCAACUGAGGAACUGCCUUUGAAACUGUACGGCUUGAGGCCGGGAGGGGGUAGCGGAAUUCCCAGUGUAGCGGUGAAAUGCGUAGAUACUGGGAGGAACACCAGUGGCGAAGGCGGCUACCUGGACCGGUUCUGACGCUGAGGCGCGAAAGCGUGGGUAGCAAACAGG
rnacentral:rRNA from 1 species